GUUAAAAAGCUCGUAGUUGGAUUUCUGGAUCGAACGCUUCGUCCGCCGCUGUGCGGUGCGUACUGAGGUUUUGUUUCGAUUCAUCCUUGCAGGGAAGCGAGUUCGAGAUUAAUUUGUCGGCUCGGGGAACUGCAUCUUUUACUGUGAAAAAAUUAGAGUGUUUAAAGCAGGCAUUUUGCUGUGAAUACAUUAGCAUGGAAUAAUAACAUAGGACUUUGGUUCUAUUUUGUUGGUUGGAGGCCAAGGUAAUGAUUAAUAGGGACAGUUGGGGGUAUUCAUAUUUAAUUGUCAGAGGUGAAAUUCUUGGAUUUAUGAAAGAUGAACUCAUGCGAAAGCAUUUACCAAGGAUGUUUUCAUUAAUCAAGAACGAAAGUUAGGGGAUCGAAGAGGAUUAGAUACCCUCGUAGUCUUAACCAUAAACUAUGCCGACUAGGGAUUGGCGGACGUACUUUUUAUGGCUCCGUCAGCACCUUACGAGAAAUCAAAAGUCUUUGGGUUCCCGGGGGGAGUAUGGUCGCAAGGCUGAACUU
rnacentral:rRNA from 1 species